rnacentral:rRNA from 1 species
AUUGAACGCUGGCGGCAGGCCUAACACAUGCAAGUCGAGCGAGCGGCGGACGGGUGAGUAAUGUAUGGGCAUCUGCCUGAUGGAGGGGGAUCACUACUGGAAACGGUGGCUAAUACCGCAUACCAUCAGAUGUGCCCAUAUGGGAUUAGCUAGUAGGUGGGGUAAUGGCUCACCUAGGCGACGAUCCCUAGCUGGUCUGAGAGGAUGACCAGGCACACUGGAACUGAGACACGGUCCAGACUCCUACGGGAGGCAGCAGUGGGGAAUAUUGCACAAUGGGCGCAAGCCUGAUGCAGCCAUGCCGCGUGUAUGAAGAAGGCCUUCGGGUUGUAAAGCACUUUCAGCGAGGAGGCGUUACUCGCAGAAGAAGCACCGGCUAACUCCGUGCCAGCAGCCGCGGUAAUUC